rnacentral:rRNA from 1 species
GGGUUGUGAGGUUAAGCGACUAAGCGUACACGGUGGAUGCCCUGGCAGUCAGAGGCGAUGAAGGACGUGCUAAUCUGCGAUAAGCGUCGGUAAGGUGAUAUGAACCGUUAUAACCGGCGAUUUCCGAAUGGGGAAACCCAGUGUGAUUCGUCACACUAUCAUUAACUGAAUCCAUAGGUUAAUGAGGCGAACCGGGGGAACUGAAACAUCUAAGUACCCCGAGGAAAAGAAAUCAACCGAGAUUCCCCCAGUAGCGGCGAGCGAACGGGGAGCAGCCCAGAGCCUGAAUCAGUGUGUGUGUUAGUGGAAGCGUCUGGAAAGGCGUGCGAUACAGGGUGACAGCCCCGUACACAAAAAUGCACAUGCUGUGAGCUCGAUGAGUAGGGCGGGACACGUGGUAUCCUGUCUGAAUAUGGGGGGACCAUCCUCCAAGGCUAAAUACUCCUGACUGACCGAUAGUGAACCAGUACCGUGAGGGAAAGGCGAAAAGAACCCCGGCGAGGGGAGUGAAAAAGAACCUGAAACCGUGUACGUACAAGCAGUGGGAGCACGCUUAGGCGUGUGACUGCGUACCUUUUGUAUAAUGGGUCAGCGACUUAUAUUCUGUAGCAAGGUUAACCGAAUAGGGGAGCCGAAGGGAAACCGAGUCUUAACUGGGCGUUAAGUUGCAGGGUAUAGACCCGAAACCCGGUGAUCUAGCCAUGGGCAGGUUGAAGGUUGGGUAACACUAACUGGAGGACCGAACCGACUAAUGUUGAAAAAUUAGCGGAUGACUUGUGGCUGGGGGUGAAAGGCCAAUCAAACCGGGAGAUAGCUGGUUCUCCCCGAAAGCUAUUUAGGUAGCGCCUCGUGAAUUCAUCUCCGGGGGUAGAGCACUGUUUCGGCAAGGGGGUCAUCCCGACUUACCAACCCGAUGCAAACUGCGAAUACCGGAGAAUGUUAUCACGGGAGACACACGGCGGGUGCUAACGUCCGUCGUGAAGAGGGAAACAACCCAGACCGCCAGCUAAGGUCCCAAAGUCAUGGUUAAGUGGGAAACGAUGUGGGAAGGCCCAGACAGCCAGGAUGUUGGCUUAGAAGCAGCCAUCAUUUAAAGAAAGCGUAAUAGCUCACUGGUCGAGUCGGCCUGCGCGGAAGAUGUAACGGGGCUAAACCAUGCACCGAAGCUGCGGCAGCGACGCUGAUGCGUUGUUGGGUAGGGGAGCGUUCUGUAAGCCUGCGAAGGUGUGCUGUGAGGCAUGCUGGAGGUAUCAGAAGUGCGAAUGCUGACAUAAGUAACGAUAAAGCGGGUGAAAAGCCCGCUCGCCGGAAGACCAAGGGUUCCUGUCCAACGUUAAUCGGGGCAGGGUGAGUCGACCCCUAAGGCGAGGCCGAAAGGCGUAGUCGAUGGGAAACAGGUUAAUAUUCCUGUACUUGGUGUUACUGCGAAGGGGGGACGGAGAAGGCUAUGUUGGCCGGGCGACGGUUGUCCCGGUUUAAGCGUGUAGGCUGGUUUUCCAGGCAAAUCCGGAAAAUCAAGGCUGAGGCGUGAUGACGAGGCACUACGGUGCUGAAGCAACAAAUGCCCUGCUUCCAGGAAAAGCCUCUAAGCAUCAGGUAACAUCAAAUCGUACCCCAAACCGACACAGGUGGUCAGGUAGAGAAUACCAAGGCGCUUGAGAGAACUCGGGUGAAGGAACUAGGCAAAAUGGUGCCGUAACUUCGGGAGAAGGCACGCUGAUAUGUAGGUGAAGCGACUUGCUCGUGGAGCUGAAAUCAGUCGAAGAUACCAGCUGGCUGCAACUGUUUAUUAAAAACACAGCACUGUGCAAACACGAAAGUGGACGUAUACGGUGUGACGCCUGCCCGGUGCCGGAAGGUUAAUUGAUGGGGUCAGCGCAAGCGAAGCUCUUGAUCGAAGCCCCGGUAAACGGCGGCCGUAACUAUAACGGUCCUAAGGUAGCGAAAUUCCUUGUCGGGUAAGUUCCGACCUGCACGAAUGGCGUAAUGAUGGCCAGGCUGUCUCCACCCGAGACUCAGUGAAAUUGAACUCGCUGUGAAGAUGCAGUGUACCCGCGGCAAGACGGAAAGACCCCGUGAACCUUUACUAUAGCUUGACACUGAACAUUGAGCCUUGAUGUGUAGGAUAGGUGGGAGGCUUUGAAGUGUGGACGCCAGUCUGCAUGGAGCCGACCUUGAAAUACCACCCUUUAAUGUUUGAUGUUCUAACGUGGACCCGUGAUCCGGGUUGCGGACAGUGUCUGGUGGGUAGUUUGACUGGGGCGGUCUCCUCCUAAAGAGUAACGGAGGAGCACGAAGGUUGGCUAAUCCUGGUCGGACAUCAGGAGGUUAGUGCAAUGGCAUAAGCCAGCUUGACUGCGAGCGUGACGGCGCGAGCAGGUGCGAAAGCAGGUCAUAGUGAUCCGGUGGUUCUGAAUGGAAGGGCCAUCGCUCAACGGAUAAAAGGUACUCCGGGGAUAACAGGCUGAUACCGCCCAAGAGUUCAUAUCGACGGCGGUGUUUGGCACCUCGAUGUCGGCUCAUCACAUCCUGGGGCUGAAGUAGGUCCCAAGGGUAUGGCUGUUCGCCAUUUAAAGUGGUACGCGAGCUGGGUUUAGAACGUCGUGAGACAGUUCGGUCCCUAUCUGCCGUGGGCGCUGGAGAACUGAGGGGGGCUGCUCCUAGUACGAGAGGACCGGAGUGGACGCAUCACUGGUGUUCGGGUUGUCAUGCCAAUGGCACUGCCCGGUAGCUAAAUGCGGAAGAGAUAAGUGCUGAAAGCAUCUAAGCACGAAACUUGCCCCGAGAUGAGUUCUCCCUGACUCCUUGAGAGUCCUGAAGGAACGUUGAAGACGACGACGUUGAUAGGCCGGGUGUGUAAGCGCAGCGAUGCGUUGAGCUAACCGG